rnacentral:rRNA from 1 species
ACAGCAGUAGCCGCGGGAAUACGAGGGGGGCAAGCGUUGUCCGGAAUUAUUGGGCGUAAAGGGUGCGUAGGCGGCUUGACAAGUCUUGUGUGAAAUCUAUGGGCUCAACCCAUAGUCUGCACGGGAAACUGUCGGGCUUGAGAAUGGGAGAGGUGAGUGGAAUUUCCGGUGUAGCGGUGAAAUGCGUAGAUAUCGGAAGGAACACCUGUGGCGAAAGCGGCUCACUGGACCAUUUCUGACGCUGAUGCACGAAAGCUAGGGGAGCAAACAGGAUUAGAUACCCCGGUAGUCCCUGUCUCUUAUAC